GCUGGCUCCGAUACCACAGCAACCAGCUUGAAGUGGAUCAUCUCUUUACUAUUAAAUAAUAAGCAUGCUUUGAAGCAUGCACAAGAAGAGAUAAACCUAAAAGUUGGCAGAGAGAGAUGGGUUGAAGACACUGAUAUCGAAAACCUGACUUAUCUCCAAGCCAUUGUCAAGGAAACCCUACGUCUAUAUCCUCCAGGUCCAUUCUCAGUCCCACAUGAAGCAAUGGAAGAUUGCCAAGUUUGUGGCCUUCACAUUCCAAAGGGCACACGUUUAUUUGUCAAUUUGUGGAAAUUGCACAGAGACCCAACUGUGUGGUCAGAGCCCGAAGUGUUUUCUCCAGAUAGGUUUGAUGCCUCUGGUCAGCAUUUUGAGUUCAUUCCAUUUGGGUCUGGAAGAAGAUCUUGUCCAGGUCUCACAUUUGCAAUGCAAGUUAUCCACUUGAAUCUUGGUAGAUUGAUUCAAGGAUUUGAAUUGGCUACUCCAUUGGACAUGUCUGUGGACAUGACUGAAGGACUAGGCGUUACUUUGCCAAAGGCAACUUCACUUGAAGUUGUGCUAACUCCACGCUUGCCCAUUGAAUUCUAUGAAAGAUAGGCAUUGGGUUGUGAUUAUAAUUUAUAUGCCAUGUAAUUGUUGACUCUUAAUGUCGUAUUAGUUUGCGAACGAUAUUUGUAUCUUUUCAUGUGAAAACCAUCAAUGAAUGUGGGUCCCAAGGUAAGAUAUACGCAACCGUUUCAUAAAACUCUUUUGUUGACUCUUAAUGUCGUAUUAGUAAUUGAUGCUAUAAAAACACUUUAAUAGCAUUUAAGAAGAAUAAAAAAGGAUAUUAAUUGGAUGCUAUAGAAACUACUUUUUCUAGCAGUUGUGGAAAAAGCAGUCAUCUACUGAAUUUUCAAACCACAUGGAUUGAAAAACGCCAAUAUAGUCAAAAUCAAAUAUCUUGUUGAAGAUGGGUAAGAGAAACUUAAGCCAAUACAAAAACAUUUGAAUGCUUAGUGGGGCCAACAACAGAGUUAUCACAUUUAAACUUGUGUGAUGAUACAACGAUUUCACCAUCAACAAACCAUGAACAAAUUGAAAGUUCAACUUUUAUGCACAACAUAUUUUGAGCACCUUCUUGUCACCAUAGCCAGCAGCGGCACAUCAUGGAUUUUCCUUCUCAUCUUCUGGCAAUUGCAGGGAUUUUACUCUUUGUUCUGUAUCUAUGGAGGGUAAAAAUCCAAAGUCACAAAACCAAGGGCGUCUUGACCCCACAACCAUCAGGUGCCCUGCCAAUCAUAGGACACCUCCACAAACUUGGAGGCAAAAACCCACUUUGCAGAACCCUAGCAUCCAUGGCUGACAAGUACGGUCCAAUCUUCACCAUACGGCUUGGCAAGCACCCUGCACUUGUGAUCAGCAACCAUGAUGCAGUCAAGGAAUGCUUCACUAAAAACGACAUCGUUUUCGCAGCGAGACCAAAGUCGGCACAUGGCAGGUACCUUGGUUACAAUUAUGCAGGUUUCGGGUUCUCACCAUACGGCACGUACUGGCGUAACAUGAGAAAAAUGGUCAUCGCUGAGUUGCUAUCUAGCCGCAGGCUUCAGACAUUAAAACAUGUCCAAAUCUCCGAGGUUGAUUCUUUUAUCAAGGGGUUGUACGAAAUUUGCAAAACAAAGGGGGGAAAUGGUCAAAGCAAGGUGGUGAUUAGCGAGUGGAUUGAGCACCUGACUUUGAAUGUAAUUACUCAAAUGAUUGCUGGGAAGAGGUAUUUUGAUUGGGGUAAAGUGGGAAAUGACUCAGAUAAUGAGGGAGAGAAUAAGAGGAUUCGGGAAAUCGUGAAGGAGUUUAUGCUUGUGUCUGGGAUGCCAGUCAUUUCUGAUAUGAUUGGGUAUCCGGAUUGGAUUGAUUUUCUGGGGCAAGUGAAGAAUAUGAAGCGUAUAGGGAAGGAGUUGGAUGCUCUAACGGCAAGUUGGAUUGAAGAACAUAAUAAUGCAAGGAAGGAGAUCGACUCAAGGGACAAGCUCGACUUCAUUGAUGUCAUGCUUUCUGUGAUUGAGGACAAUACUGUGCUUGGUCAUACUCGUGAAACCAUCAUCAAGGCAACAUCGCAGGUAUCUUCUUCUAACUGAGACUUUAUCUCCAGAUCCACAUCUCUUUAGGAUAUGUUGGUAUAUUCAUUACAACUUUACUUUGCUAAACAGAGGCUCAAAGUUUAUCCAAGUCAAAAUCAAUACAAACUUCAAAACCAAUUGAAUGUCAAUCUAAAUAUCUUAUCAUCUGCAUAUAGGAAGAAAUUAAGCUUAUUUAACAGAACAAGAGGCGGAAAUGAGAAUACUCAUAUAAGUAUACUUCACUUGCAAAGUUAAUUAACUGCGAAUUUGCUGCAACCAUAUAACAACUCCAAUUCACUUGUACUCUAAUCACACCAGAUAGAUUAUGCAAUACAAACAACAAAUCAUCAAAAAUUACUAAAAAUUAAACCUCCCACACCAAAUCCGAGUGCUGUAUAAGCAACUCUUACUCGUCUUGCUCCUGCUAACAAAAGAAGCAAAAUCAUUAGAAUUGACACAUGUACACAAAUAAUUCACUAAAAUCAAAAGUAAAAAACUUAUGCACACUUGUCAGAUUGUAAUUAUAUAUGAGAAAGAAUGACUCGUGACUUAUAAAGAAACAAGCAUUUUCCUCGUUAUGAUCCCUAACUGGAAGUACAUGUUUGAAAAUUGGGGCACUCCAUUUUGCUGUUCACCAUUUAUAAUUUUUUAUGUUGCAGAAUCUGAUCAUAGCUGGCUCAGAUACCACAGCAAUCAGCUUGAAGUGGAUCAUCUCUUUAUUAUUAAACAACAGGCAUGUUUUGAAGCAUGCACAAGAAGAGAUAAACCUAAAAGUUGGCACAGAGAGAUGGGUUGAAGACACUGAUAUCGAAAACCUAACUUACCUCCAAGCCAUUGUCAAGGAAACCCUACGUCUAUAUCCUCCAGGUCCACUCUCAGUCCCACAUGAAGCAAUGGAAGACUGCCAAGUUUGUGGCUUUCACAUUCCAAAGGGCACACGUUUAUUUGUCAAUUUGUGGAAAUUGCACAGAGACCCAACUAUGUGGUCAGACCCUGAAAUGUUUUACCCAGAUAGGUUUCUUACAACCCAAGCAAGCAUUGAUGCCUCUGGUAACCAUUUUGAGUUCAUUCCAUUUGGGUCUGGAAGAAGAUCUUGUCCAGGUCUCACAUUCGCAAUGCAAGUUAUCCACUUGACUCUUGGUAGAUUGAUUCAAGGAUUUGAAUUGGCUACUCCAUUGGACAUGCCUGUAGACAUGACUGAAGGACUAGGCGUUACUUUGCCAAAGGCAACUUCACUUGAAGUUGUGCUAACUCCACGCUUGCCCAUUGAAUUGUAUGAAAGAUAGGCAUUGGGUUGUGAUUAUAUGCUAUGUAAUUGUAGACUCUUAAUGUUGUGCCUGUUUGUAAAUGGUAUUUGUAUCUUAUCAUGUGAAAACCAUUAAUAAAAAAAAGCCCCGUGUAGGGUACACGCAACUGCCUCUAUAAAACUCUUUUGUUAAAAGUAGUAAUUUGGUAGUAUAUGAGAUGACUAAAAAAGUUUAGUGUUUUGAUCCUAAUUUUUUACUUAUUUUUAUAUGGCUAUAAUGUGAUACAUCACUAGUAUAAUUUAUGAAUAUCACAUUUUUUUUUUAUUGUGAAAAAGGGAUUUUCAACUCCGCCUAUGUCUUACAUGGCCGGUCCCAAGCCCGGAUAAAGGAGGAGGGGGAGGGCGUCAGGUAGUCGACAGCCGGCACUCCAUGAUCACGUCGAAUCCUUAUGAAAAUGAAUCCAGAACAAAAUCGAACUAUAGGGGUAUUAAGCUAAUGAGUCAUACAAUGAAGCUCUGGGAGAGAGUCAUUGAGCAUAGAUUGAGGCAAGAGACACGGGUUUCGGACAACCAAUUCGGGUUCAUGCCAGGGCGCUCAACCAUGGAGGCAAUCUAUCUCUUACGAAGAUUGAUGGAAAGAUAUAGAGAUGGGAAAAAGGAUUUACACAUGGUCUUUAUAGAUUUGGAAAAAGCGUAUGAUAGGGUCCCAAGAGACAUUCUUUGGAGGAUUUUAGAGAAGAAAGGAGUACGAGUAGCAUAUAUCCAAGCUAUAAAGGAUAUGUAUGAAGGAGCAAAGACUGCCGUAAGAACUCAUGAAGGACAAACCGAAAGCUUUCCCAUAACUGUAGGAUUACAUCAAGGCUCAUCCUUAAGUCCUUACCUUUUUGCGUUGGUAAUGGAUGAGUUAACACGACAUAUUCAAGAUGAUAUUCCUUGGUGUAUGCUUUUCGCAGACGAUAUAGUGUUGAUAGAUGAAACUCAGGAAGGGGUAAAUGCAAAGCUUAACCUUUGGAGAGAAGUGUUGGAAUCUAAAGGUCUUCGCCUAAGCCGAUCAAAGACAGAAAUAUAUGGAGUGCAAGUUCAGUGCAAAUGGAGGUCAAAACGAGUUAGGGGUGAGGAUCGGAGAUCAAGAAAUACCAAAGAGCGACCGUUUUCGUUACCUAGGAUCUAUCUUGCAAAAGAACGGAGAAUUAGAUGGAGAUCUCAACCAUAGAAUACAAGCUGGAUGGAUGAAGUGGAAGAGUGCAUCCGGCGUGUUGUGUGACCGCCGUAUGCCACUGAAGCUCAAGGGAAAAUUUUAUAGGACGGCAAUAAGGCCGGCGAUGCUGUAUGGCACAGAAUGUUGGGCGGUGAAACAUCAACACGUACACAAAAUGGGUGUAGCGGAGAUGAGGAUGCUUCGUUGGAUGUGUGGGCACACGAGAAAGGAUAAGAUUAGGAAUGAGGAUAUCCGGGGUAAAGUAGGAGUAGCCGAAAUUGAAGGAAAGAUGAGAGAAAAAUCGGUUACGGUGGUUUGGACAUGUGCAAAGAAGGCCUACUGACGUUCCGAUUAGAAGAUGCGACUAUGGGACAAGAGGUUCAGGGCCGAAGGGGUAGAGGAAGACCUAGGAAAACUUUGGAAGAGACUCUAAGAAAAGACUUAGAGUACUUAGAUCUAACGAAGGACAUGACACAGGAUCGAGCACAAUGGCGUUCUAAGAUUCAUAUAGCCGAUCCCACUCAGUGACUUGGAUUUUCCAAGUCUCCAACUAAGAAGUUUUCCUCACUCGGGAAAUUAAGGGAACACUACCCCAACCUACAUGCUCCACUCAGAAAGCUUCAACAUACAAGCUUUAACAAAAGAAAAUUCAAAGAACUUAGCGAAGAAGGCUUUGGUGUAUUUAACACAAUACGUUGAAAUGAAGGAAAGCUUAUUUAUUGAUAUCCCCGAUAAGCUACAAAUAUGUACAUAUACAUGAGUCAAAAUAAGCACACAAGAGGGAGCCUUCACAAAGGUUGCUUAGGAGAAGUCUCAGCAGUCGGUAGAGCCCCAGAAAGAGAAGGCACCGGAGGGGGAUCAUUUGGAGCCUCAGUACUGGACAGAACCCUAGAAGGAGGAGGCAUCAGAGGUUGAUCAUUUGGAGCUUCAUUACGCGGUACAGCCCCAAAAGACGAAGGCAAUAAAUGCCUUUGGAACAAACCCACAAAUCUCUGAUGAUCAAGUAAAACCUGACCAUCAGUUUCCUUCAUCUGGUCAAGCUUCCUCUUCAUGUUUGUAGCAUAGUCAUGUGCGAGCCGGUGCAACUGUUUAUUCUCAUGCUUGAGCCCUCUAAUCUCCUGUUUGAGACUCAUCACUUCAGCCGCCAAUGAUUCAACUUGGCGGGUUCGAGCAAAUAGGCGUUGGGCCAUAUUAGACACAGAACCUGCACACUGAACACUGAGAGCCAGCGAAUCCUUAACAGCUAACUCAUCAGACCGUUUGGAAAGUAGUCUGUUAUCUUUGGGAGUGAGAAGGUUCCUGGCCACCACCGCAGCGGUCAUAUCAUUCUUUAUCACGGAAUCCCCAACGGUAAGAGGACCAGUAGGGGAGACGAAGGAUGGGCGCCAUAUGUUGUCUGGAGAAGGCGGGGCUGCCUCUUCAACAAGGUUCAAGUCAAAACGACGGUCGGAGGGGCCAGACAUUUUCAAAGGUGUUGAAGAGAGAAGAGGUCGGACAAAUCAAGAUCUUAGAAGUGCAAGAAUGAAGCUUCUACUGGUGGAGAUUCAAGUGUGCUUUGGAACUUAAUGCCAGCCCCUAUAAAAAUCUGCACUCGACGAAGCUUCAGAAAUCGAAGAGGCGCCUGCUCAGAAAUCGAAGAGGCGUUUGCUUUCUCAAAAGCUGGGCUGCUUAGAGAUCACGAGGGUUGAUCUCAGAAAUCGAAGAGGCGUUUGCUUUCUCAAAAGUUGGGCUGCUCAAAGACCACGAAGGCCGAUCUCAAAAAUCGAAGAGGCGCUCGCUUUCUCAAAAGCUGGGCUCCCCAGAGACCACGAGGGCCGAUCUCAGAAAUCGAAGAGGCACCUACUUUUCCAGCCUUUUCCAGCCUUGUCAGCACCUGUCACACGCACACUCAGUUUUGCGGAAAUUAUGGGCAUUCUGUCAAAGACUUCUGGGGAAGUAGAAAACACAUGAAUCUUACUGUUCAAUCACCCACUUCCCACACGCAACAAUAGCUCAUGGGUACCACAGAUAACUUUGCCAAAGUUCUCUGCCAAAGUUGAGCACGUGAAGCUUGCAGCUCCCACUACAUCGCUCUGACCAAGAAGGGUAAAAGAAUAGCAAAGAAACAGCACUAACAAAGUUUAGACCCAUAAAUUUUGAAGGUCUAGCUACCAUAUUAUUACCCACAAGGGUAAAGGAACAGUACCACUGCUGGAUAAUUGGAAAGUCCCUGUGUGUCAACCUCUGUGCUUCGUGGCAAGGUAGACUAGCAAACAUGCCCAACCUUUACUCACAUUCGAGAAAACACUCCCAAUAAGAUUGCUUGCUCCAAAAUCGAAGAGGCACCGUCCUCCGAAUCUCGAGAGCCAGACUUCCAACAUGACUACUUUCUUAAAAAUCGAAGAGAGGGUAAAGGAACAGUACCAUUGCUGGAUAAUUGGAAAGUCCCUGUGUGUCAACCUCUGUGCUUCGUGGCAAGGUAGACUAGCAAACAUGCCCAACCUUUACUCACAUUCGAGAAAACACUCCCAACAAGAUUGCUUGCUCCAAAAUCGAAGAGGCACCGCCCUCCGAAUCUCGAGAGCCAGACUCCCAACAUGAUUACUUUCUCAAAAAAUCGAAGAGACACUGCUCCUCGAAUCUCGAGAGCCAGACCCCCAGCAUGAUUGCUUUCUCAAAAAUCGAUGAGGCAUCGUUCUCCGAAUCAAUCGAAGAGGCGCUCGCUUUCUCAAAAGCUGGGCUGCUCAGAGACCACGAGGGCCGAUCUCAGAAAUCGAAGAGGCACCUACUUUUCUAGCCUUGUCAGCACCUGUCACACGCACACUCAGCUUUGCAGAAAUUAUGGGCAUUCUGUCGAAGACUUCUGGUGAAGUAGAAAGCACAUGAAUCUUACUGUUCAAUCACCCACUUCCCACACGCAACAAUAGCUCAUGGGUACCACAAAUAACUUUGCCAAAGUUCUCUGCCAAAGUUGAGCACGUGAAGCUUGCAGCUCCCACUACAUCGCUCUGACCAAGAAAGGUAAAAGAAUAGCAAAAAGAAACAGCACUAACAAAAGUUUAGACACAUAAAUUUUUGAAGGUCUAGCUACCAUAUUAUUACCCACAACUGUAAAGGAACAGUACCACUGCUGGAUAAUUGGAAAGUCCCUGUGUGUCAACCUCUGUGCUUCGUGGCAAGGUAGACUAGCAAACAUGCCCAACCUUUACUCACAUUCGAGAAAACACUCCCAAUAAGAUUGCUUGCUCCAAAAUCGAAGAGGCACCGUCCUCCGAAUCUCGAGAGCCAGACUCCCAACAUGACUACUUUCUCAAAAUCGAAGAGAGGGUAAAGGAACAGUACCAUUGCUGGAUAAUUGGAAAGUCCCUGUGUGUCAACCUUUGUGCUUCGUGGCAAGGUAGACUAGCAAACAUGCCCAACCUUUACUCACAUUCGAGACAACACUCCCAACAAGAUUGCUUGCUCCAAAAUCGAAGAGGCACCGCCCUCCGAAUCUCGAGAGCCAGACUCCCAACAUGAUUACUUCCUAAAAAAUCGAAGAGACACUGCUCUCCGAAUCUCGAGAGUCAUACCCCCAGCAUGAUUGCUUUCUCAAAAAUCGAAGAGGCAUCGUUCUCCGAAUCUCGAGAGCCAGAUACCACAGACCACUUUUUCAAAGUGCUCUGACAGAGUUAAAACAUGUGAAACUGGCAGCUCCCACUACCGUGCUAUGACCAAGCAGGGUAAAGGAAUAGCAUUACUACUUGUUGUUAGGGAGACUCCUAUAUAUGUCGACCUCCAUCCCCAACGGACAGGCAGACCUGCAAAAAUGCUCAACCCUUCAUCAUAUCUGAGAGGGCACUCCCAACGAAGCCUUUCGAAAUAUUCAGCUUUCUUUCCCCCCGAUAAUACCUCUGCAAACAAGCUAUACUAGAGCAAGAAUAUCUCAUAUCAUCAGGGUUAAAAGCAAGAGUAUCCCAUAUCAUGCUUUUUCCCUGUCUUUUCUUUUGGCCUUGUUUUUACCUGCAAGACAAGGAGAAAGAGAGCAAUCAGUCAGCACUUGGAAUCAAGCUCCCAGCCAGGAACUGACUGCCUGGAACCCCUUACCUGAUUACUUACCUGGCAUUGCUCUCGAGUACUCAUCUUCAACAUCUUAUGUUUCCAGGGAAGAUUCCGCAUCUGCUUGAGGAACAGAUAGGGCAAGUGCGAAGGAUACAAGGAAGCAUGUGGAGACAAGCGUAACAGCACACGUGCCGAUACAUUCACUACUCUGUCAAAAGCAAAAGUAUCCCAUAUCAGCAGGGUGGAACGUACUCUAGAUUUGAUGGACUUGUUUUGACCCUCAAAUUCUUCAGUCGGCCUUAUACUCUGGAGGAAACCAGAAAACCCUCCAGCUCAGUUCAAGAAUAAGCCUGUGGAAAGUUACUUCUUCAAAAGCAAAAGUAUCUCAUAUCAUCUCUUCUCAUUUUUCUUCUCUUUAUCCUUCAUGCUGCUGCAAGAUGGGGAGAAGGUGAACAAUCAGUCGGAGCUCUGAUUGCUUACCUUGUCUGUCACCUCUUUCAGCAGACCCCCUAGCUCGGCGACUUGGGGGACUCCUACUACAUGGUUUGUAUCGCGCUUGACCAAGCCUGAAACUACAAGUAAGCUUCAAGUGAAAUUGAUACAUUACCUUGUGCAUCUCCACCAGUUAAAGAUACCACCCCUGGAUGGAGGAAGAGUACUUCCAGAGAAGAUGCCACAUCUACCUAUGAGACAGAUAAGGCAAGUCAAGACGACACCACACUCCGAUACUUAGAAGUUUCGUGACUACGAGAUCAUUCUCCCACAAUAUUUCCUAAUGUCAUUUGUACUAAAUCAUUCACUUGUACUCACUAAAUGAGAGCUUGAACCUAUGUACUUGUGUAAACCCUUCACACAAUUAAUGAGAACUCUUCUAUUCCGUGGACGUAGCCAAUCUGGGUGAACCACGUACAUCUUGUGUUUGCUUUCCUAUCUCUAUCCAUUUAUAUACUUAUCCACACUAAUGACCGGAGCAAUCUAGCGAAGAUCACAAAAAGCGAUCGUUUUCGCUACCUAGGAUCUAUCUUGCAAGAGAACGGAGAAUUAGAUGGAGAUCUCAACCAUAGAAUACGAGCUGGAUGGAAAGAGUGCAUCCGGCGUGUUGUGUGACCGUCGUAGGCCACUGAAGCUCAAGGGAAAAUUUUAUAGGACGGCAAUAAGGCUAGCGAUGUUGUAUGGCACAGAAUGUUGGGUGGUGAAGCAUCAACACGUACACAAAAUGGGUGUAGCGGAGAUGAGGAUGCUUCGUGGGAUGUGUGGGCACACGAGAAAGGAUAAGAUUGGGAAUGAGGAUAUCCGAGGUAAAGUAGGAGUAGCCGAAAUUGUAGGAAAUAUGAGAGAAAAUCGGCUCCGGUGAUUUUGAACAUGUGCAAAGAAGGCCGACUGACGCUCCGGUUCGAAGAUGUGACUACGGGACAGAGGUUCAGGGCCGAAGGGGUAGAGGAAGACCUAGGACAACUUUGGAAGAGACUCUAAGAAAAGACUUAGAGUACUUGGAUCUAACGGAGGACAUGACACAAAACCGAGCGCAAUGGCGUUCUAGGAUUCAUAUAGCCGACCCCACUUAGUGGGAAAAGGCUUUGUUGUUGUUGUUGUUGUUGUUGUUUGUGAAAAAGGGAUUUUCAUUCAGAACAAUGGACAAAUACAUAUCGGAAUAACAAUGAAACACACUUUAAAGGUUUUGGCACACAUACGAAUUUCUCUUCCCAUACUUUCGAAGAAUUUGUAACAAAAAGGUUUUGGCACACAAAUAAAUGUUUGAAACGUCUUAACAUUGUAACCCAACUCAUUAGAGCCGAUAACAAAUUAUUACCAAGAUCUUAUGUACAUUGAAAUUUUGUGCCACAAUAGGACCCACCAUGUGAAAUCCUGUUUCCGGAUUUCACUGUUUAAAAUUACGUAUUCCAUAUUUUGUAUUCUUAAUUGCGACGUUUUUAUAUUUACGACGUAUUUGACCCCUACGUAUUUUUCCACUUAUCUUUAUAUAUUUGGAUAGUACUCAUCGAUAUGACGCGUGGGCGCAAACAAAAUGUGAUUCAGAAUUAUAACAAAGAUUUUAUGAGGUUUUUAAUGUCGAAGAUAUUUUGGUAAAUUGAUAAUUAAUUGGACAUGUGAUAUUUUUGUUUAAUCAUUGGGUGAGUGCCACGUGGGCACCUAAAAAUUCUAGCUCUCUCUCUCCAUUUUCUCUAUCAUUCUCUCUUCUAUCUUUAGAGUUCUCUCACUCUCUCUCGGCUCUCCCUUUCUUCCUGUGAAACAAACCACCAUCAUCACCAAAAUUUUGGCUUGUUGAACACCAAAACCACCAUUAUCUGCAUGUCCUCACCACCAUAAACUUCGUUGUGAUUUUUUUUUCCUUGAAAAUGAACCUGAAACAUGAGUUCGAAGAACAAGGUUUUCGGCCAAGACUUCUAGGCGUGAUUCAGAUAAUUUUCAGCCAUCUUUUGGACUCAAAACAGGUAUAAAUCGACUCCUCAUGAUAUGUAGAUGAAUUUUCAUGUUUAGAUCGUGUGAUUUGGUUGAAAAUGAGAAAGUUAUAACGAUUUAAAGUUUGCCCAGUUUCCAGCGAACCCGUAACCUUCCAGACCAUUUUCCGGCCAAACUAUUCCUCUCGUUCCAAGCUAUGAUUUUUGUUUUUGAAUCACUCAAUUUUGUUUAGUAUUGAUAAAGUUAUGGACGAUUAAAGUUUGCCUAGAAAUUUCGGCGAGUUACCAGUUUUCCCACGGACAGCCAUAUUUCAGGCCAUUUUCUGGCCACCUCUGACCACCAUUUAGGCUUCAAGCGAGUAUAAUCUUGUUCUAAACUUCUCUAGCUUCGUUUUGGUAUAUUAUGGAUCGAAUUUGGGGGAGACACAAGUGAGAUAUGGAGUUCUAAAGAUUGCCCAGAAAAUCUGCAAAAUCUGCAGAAUCCGGCAAAAUUUCGUUAAGGUCCACCACUCAAACAUUAUAGCAAUCAAUGAUCCAACCGUUGGAUUGUUACCAAACUUUGAUACAUUAUAGUACGUAAUAUUUAAGGACCUUAGGAACUUACGAAUUAAAAAUAUAGUGGUUGGAUCUUACGGAGCAAGUAACGUAGAAUCAUGGACCCUACCUUUGAACGACAGUUUGAUUCUCAUUAAAUGUUGUUGUGGGGGACAUAUGGGAGUUCUUGAGUAUGUGAAUUAUCGAAGGAAAUCUAAAUGUGGACUUGUACUUUGUUUUAGGCUACGAUAGUGCAAGCCGUCUCAAUUUUUGUGCUAGGGUGCGUUAGCGCAGACUCCAAGUGAGUGACUUUAAUAUAUGUGAUAUUGGUGAUUACCCUAUUUUCGUAAUUGUUAUCCUGUGUGGAUAUGACUUGGUUUUAUAAAUAUGUUUUCUAUUGAAUUGUUAUUUUUAAUACUUAGCCAUCUAUUUAUGUUUAUGAAAUGAGAUUUAACGUGUAUAUUUGAGAUAUGGUUUGAUUUGUAUGAUUGGCAUGUUGUGAUAAAAUGUGAGGGCUAGUAGUGGACCGUUAACCCAUUGUGAUGGGGAUUUUUUGCUUCGAUAUUGUUUCAUUUCCCACUUCAUUGAUUUGUUCCAAAUUUAGUAUUUGUGUACCUUGUGCUUUGUUCCAUUUCUUGUUUUGUUGAGCUUUUGUAAAUUGAGUAACUUGUGCCUUGUCUCGUUUCUUUAAGUCAUUGUACAUUAUGGUUGUUGGCCUUCCACUCGGUUCCAUGAAUGAUCCGGAACUGGGUUUCCAGUGGGGUUUAGUUAAGUGGUCCAGUUCCCUACUCUAUCUGGAUUCAGUUGAGUGGUUCGAAAUCCCUCGUGAUCCAUGAUUUCGUUGAAUGGUCUGGAAUCAUAACCAGCUUGGAUUUCAUUAAGUGGUUAGAUAUGCAUUGUACUCUGCGAUUCCGUUGAGUGGUCCGGAAUCGUAUUAACUUGGAUUCCGUUGAGAUGUUCAAAAUCCCUUCUACUCCGCGAUUCCGUUGAAUGGUCCGGAAUAGUAUCUUGGUUGGAUUCUGUUGAGUGGUCCGGAAUCCCGUUUGGUAUUAUGGUUCUGUUGAGAGGUCCGGAACUCGGUUAAUUGCUUUGCUGAUUCUUCGGAUUGAGUUUGGAUUGAGAUAGCUUCAGAGAUGUAGGCUUCAGCCGAACUGUGUUGCUCUAUCCCUACUUUUCAUUGUGUUGUAUGAGUUUAUGGUUGUGAGCUUUUGUGACUUGUUUCAGACGAGCCGUUGGAUGUCUGGGUGAUUCUUUCAGGAUAUUCAAUGACUUGAUUAUGAUAUUAUAAAAUAUGAUUUUAGAUUUGACAUUUAUAAACCGAAUCGAUGGUUGGUUUUUAAUAUCACACACGUCGAAUUAUUGUCCCUCACACGAGCUUCGUGGCUUAUCCGGGUUGUUGUUUGCCCGGUGCACCAUUCCGAUGGUGUACGGGCGAUUGUGCAUGUAUUAUUAGAUAUAAGGAGCUUUGGGGUAGCAGACAAAGUUCAGAGAGCUUAGAGUGUUAGAUUACCUUUAUACUUUACCUUAAACUGAUGUAAUUAUUGUUCAGUUUAGUAUUUCAAUUUGUAUUUCUUGGCAUCCCCCUACAGUCUAACGUCACGUGUCGAUCCUGGACGUAUGUCGGGAUUGAGGCAUGACAACUUUUGGUGGUAUCAGAGCUUAGGUAUUAUAUGUCUAUACCUUUACCUUAGAGUGAGGAAACCUUGGGUAGGUUAUGGGUAGUUAGACCUUUACGUAAGUAGUGUGGGUUCGUCCUGAGUCUUAUUUAUUCGCUUACGCUAAAUUCUUUUAUUCUUCAGACGUACAAUGGCAACUCCACAUGGUUUUACCCAAUCGAUUAGGGAUAAUGUUCCUAAUGAUGACGUAGCUCUUAGUACUAAUCAGAAGGCUAGCCACGACUAUGGUGGACCCAAUGGUGUUUUUUGGACUAUUGAGGAUUUGGCUCAGCUUAUGCAAGCUCACAUUCGUGCGACUUCUACUAGUGGGAAGUCUUUGUAUAGAGAGUUUCGCACUCACAAGCCUCAUUCAUUCCAUGGUUCUACUGAUCCGUGGGUGGCUGAGUUAGUGGCAGCCGGGGGAUCCAUUACUUGGGAGUGUUUUCAGACGGCAUUUUACGAGCAAUACAUUCCCAAGUCUUUUCGAGACGAACUUGAGGCGGAGUUCGCUACUAUCGAGCAAGGCAUGGAUACAGUUGCUAAGUAUGUGGCUCGUUUCACCAAACUUUACCGAUUUUCUCAAUCUUUGCUUGAAGAAAAGAAGACAAAGAAGCUGAUUAGAGGAUUAAAGCCAAGUAUUCGAAAUCUAUUACAAUACCCUCACCUCUAGAGCAUUUUCGUAAAUUCAUAUUUUUUUAAAUUUAUAAAAUCGUAGAACUAGGAACCUCUCUCUCUCUCUCUCUCUCUCUCUCUCUCUCUCUCUCUUCAAAUGUACCAAAAAAUUGGACUAAAUUUCUCAAGAAUGCACCAAAAAAAUUAGAUGAAGAGACUUGAAAGUGACUAAAUGUUCAAUGCAUACCAGAGAAUUUUCAAAUAACUCCUUGGAAAGGUGUCAUUUUAAAAGUCCCUUGUUUAGUGUCUUCUAAUACAAUUGUAAUGUUGUAGUAAUAAAGUUUGUGGUGUUUGAGUAUUUCAUUGGUAGUCUUCUUGUAGUGUAGUUUUAGUUACUAAGUCAAAGUUCCUCAUCCAAACAUAAGGUAAGUCCAUACCUUUAUUUGGUGACUUGGAUUAGAGUCUGUCUUUGACUUGGACUAGAGUCAUUUUGCUGGUUCAGGAACCAUAUCAAUCAGCUUAACAUGGACACUCUCCUUACUAUUAAACCAUGAGCAUGUUUUGAAGCGUGUCCAAGAAGAGAUAGACCACAAAGUCGGCAAGGAGACAUGGGUUAAAGAUACUGAUAUCAAAAACUUGGUUUACGUCCAAGCCAUAGUCAAACAAACACUUCAUUUUAUCCCUCAUCACCUUUCUCAAUUCCGCACGAAGCAAUUGAAGACCGCAAUGUCUACGACUUUCUCAUUCCAAAGGGCACAAUUGCUUGUGAAUUUGUGAAAUUGCAUAGAGACCCAAGUGUGUGGUUAGACCUUGAUGUGUUUUGUCCAUAUAGGUUUCUUACAACCCAAGCCAGCAUUGAUGCUUCUGGUCAGCAUUUCGAGUUUAUUGCAUUUUGGUCUAAAAGACGGUCAUGUCCAGGUUUUACAUUUGCUUGCAAGUUAUGCACUUGACAGUUGGAAGAUUGCUUCAAGGGUUUGAAUUGGCAACACCAUUAGACUUUCUGGCGGAUACUGCUUUGAAUUCUAUGAACAUGGAUAGGUUGCGAAUUGUGAUGGCACCGCAUAUGGGGUUGGAAAAAUUAGGGCCUAAUUACUAUAUUAAAUUAUAUCAAAAAUAAAUAAUAAUAAAAAAUUAAAAAAAAUCAUGCAAUUACAUAUCAAAGUAAUGCAUGCACAUGAAUAACCAAUUUUAAAUGAACAUAACAUAAUAGAUUAGAAAAACCUGAAAAUACGAUCGAGGUAAGUGUUGGACACUCUGUCCUUAAGAUAAGUUUAUGUCCCACUGCGGUGUUCAUAGUUGAUCGGGGCUUGUCUCCCAAAAUACAACAAUCAUGUCCUUGUAAUAGUAGCACUUCAAAUCAUAAGCCUCCAAUGAACCACGGUUGUGUUGAAUAUUCUCUCGUAUGACUCCAUGAGACCCUCUAAUAUUUAAUGCAAUAUAUGUAUGUAUAAUGAAAAGUUGUUUAAGAUUAUGGGGAGCUUCCUUAUGUAUAGAAUUUGAGAUGCCUCUUUAGAUAAUUUGUGACUAUUCAUGAAGAGACAUAUUUCUACCAAAAGGCUCAACUUCUAAUUUCAAUUCAAUUAAUAAAUUUAAUAUUAUAAUAAUAUUUUAAAUUUUCCAACAUAUGGUAGGUAAUCAUGGAUGUCUCAUGCAACGACACAAUCCCAUUUGAAUGUCAGAAUUCCAAAUCUUGCAUUACAAUAUAUAUAAAGCGAUAUACUACGAUCUAGUGGUGUUUAUAUUCACUUGUAAAUAGAAGAUCUUAAAUCCGUCUUUCAUUAAUAACGAGUUCAAUCCAAAUUCAUUACGUGAUACCCAGCAAAAGUCAUGCAUCAAAAGGCAGAAGUGGUAAAACAAAUUAUAAUGGUUUUAAAUAGGUUGCUUCUCCAUGAAUCAACCCUUAAUCAUUCACAAAUGUAAAAGUUGAAGUUUUCUGUAGGUCACUCCACCUACUCACUUUUCUAUUCAUGGUAAAUAUUUAAUUAUGCAUUGAAAAGAAAUUUCCAGUUGCGUGGAAGGAUUUGCGUCGAAGAUUAUAAUUCUAACCAGGGGCGGAUUCACUUGGGCAAGGGAAUCUUCUAUGGAAAAACUGGGUGCCCUUUUUUAAAAUAUGAGAAGCUGUUUUCUAACUGCUCGGCAACGUAGUUGUUAGUCGUAUACCUUUGUAUGCGUUCCUAUAGACAUCUAUCGAUUAGCCCAGUCAACAUAGGUUGUCAUGUUCGCUAGGAAGCUAUUGAAAUUAAUUGACAUGUUUGCUCAGAAUCUAUUGACAUAUGUCGAUAAAAGUGCAAUAUGACUUGACAAAUGACUUUAGACCUACCAAAACUUAAUGGAAUGUCAAUUGGCAUGUUAUUCUGUUCAAAAAAAUUUGCAUGUUGAGCGUGCUAUUCUUACUAACCACUCAAAUAAUAUUUCUUGGAUCCAUUACUGAUUCUAACGACUCCAAAGUUUUUUGGGGAAAAAACAAACUUCUGCUGAAUUUUCAACCCACACGGAUUGAAAAUGUCCAUAUACUCAAAUCAAAUAUCUUGCGUAGUAGAUGAGUACUAGAAACUUUAGUCAAUACAAAAACAUUUGAAUGCUUAAUUAAUGGGCCAACAAUAGACUUGUAUCAUUUUAACUUGUGUGAUGAUGAUACAACGAUUUCCCCAUCUACAAACCAUGAAUAAAUUGAAAGUUCAACUUUUAUGCACAAUAUAUUUUGAGCACUAAUUGUCACCAUAGCCAGCAGCGGCACAUUAUGGAUUUUCCUUCUCAUCUUCUAGCAAUUGUAGGGAUUUUACUCUUUGUUCUGUAUCUAUGGAGGGUAAAAAUCCAAAGUCACAAAACCAAGGGCAUGCUAGCCCCACAACCAUCAGGUGCCCUUCCAAUCAUAGGACACCUCCACAAACUUGGAGGCAAAAACCCACUUUGCAGAACCCUAGCAUCCAUGGCUGACAAGUACGGUCCAAUCUUCACCAUACAGCUUGGCAAGCACCCUGCACUUGUGAUCAGCAACUAUGAUGCAGUCAAGGAAUGCUUCACCAAAAACGACAUUGCUUUCGCAACGAGAUCAAAGUCGGCACAAGGAAGGUACCUUGGUUACAAUUAUGCAGCUUUAGGGUUCUCACAAUACGGCACGUAUUGGCGUAACAUGAGAAAAAUGGCCAUCGUUGAGUUGCUCUCUAGCCGCAGGCUUCAGACACUAAAACAUGUCCAAAUCUCUGAGGUUGAUUCUUUUAUCAAAGGGUUGUACGAAAUUUGCAAAACAAAAGGGGAAAAUGGUCAAAGCAAGGUGGUGAUUAGCGAGUGGAUUGAGCACCUGACUUUGAAUGUAAUUACUCAAUGAUUGCUGGGAAGAGAUAUUUUGAUUGGGGUAAAGUGGGAAAUGACUCAGAUAAUGAGGGAGAAAAUAAGAGGAUUCGGGAAAUGGUGAAGGAGUUUAUGUGUGUGGCUGGGAAACCAGUUGUUUCUGAUGUAAUUGGGUUUCCGGAUUGGAUUGAUCUAAUGGGGCAAGUGAAGAAUAUGAAGCGUAUCGGGAAGGAUUUUGAUUCUCUAAUGGCAAGUUGGAUUGAAGAACAUAAGAAUGCAAGGGAGGAAAUUGACUCAAGGGACAAGCUUGACUUCAUUGAUGUCAUGCUUUCUGUGAUUGAGGACAAUACUGUGCUUGGUCAUAGUCGUGAAACUAUCAUCAAGGCAACAUCGCAGGUAUGUUCUUUUAAUUGAGACUUUAUCUCUAGAUCUAGAUCUCUUUAGCAUACGUUGGUAAAUUCAUUAGAACAUUACUCAGCUCUAACAUGUAAGAAGUCAUUUUCCCGUACCUACAAGUUAGUGUUUUUUCAGUAAUUUUUUUAUCCUUUUUUUAGUGACUGGUGUAUAGUACUCUUGUCUAGUAAGUGUGAGUUAAGUUUGACAAAAAAAAAAUGUGAGUUAAGCACAAAUAGCAAGCAAGCUACUCAUAACAAGCUUAUUAAAAAAAAGUCUCCGCCCAAUUUACUUUGUUAGGAGUAUAUUGUUUAGUUUCUUACGUAUAAAUAAUUUCUUUCUUAUUUACAAAUUACAGUCUCACACAUGUACAAAAGUAAUUCACUAAAACUACAAAAAAAAAAAAGCUUAUGCACACUUGUUAAAUUGUAAUUAUCUGUCGGAAAGAAUCACUCGUGAGAUAUAAAGAUCCAAGCGUUUUUCUUAUUAUGAUCCCUAACUAGAAGUGCAUGCAUGUUUGCAAGCUGGAACACUCCGUUCUGUUGUUCACCACUUAUAGUUUUUUAUGUUGCAGAAUCUGAUCUUAGCAGGCUCAGACACCACAGCGACCAGCUUGACGUGGAUCCUCUCUUUAUUAUUAAACAAUAGGCAUAUUUUGAAGCAUGCACAAGAAGAGAUAAACCUACAAGUUGGCACAGAGAGAUGGGUUGAAGACACUGAUAUCAAAGACCUAACUUACCUCCAAGCCAUUGUCAAGGAAACCUUACGUCUAUACCCUCCAGCCCCACUCUCAGUCCCACAUGAAGCAAUGGAAGAUUGCCAAGUUUGUGGCUUUCACAUUCCAAAGGGCACACGUUUAUUUGCGAAUUUGUGGAAAUUGCAUAGAGACCCAUCUGUGUGGUCAGACCCUGAAGUGUUUUGCCCAGAUAGGUUUCUUACAACCCAAGCAAGCACUGAUGUCUCUGGUCAACAUUUUGAGUUCAUUCCAUUUGGAUCUGGAAGAAGAUCUUGUCCAGGUCUCACAUUCGCAAUGCAAGUUAUCCACUUGACUCUUGGUAGAUUGAUUCAAGGGUUUGAAUUGGCCACUCCAUUGGACAUGCCUGUGGACAUGGCUGAAGGACUAGGUAUUACUAUGCCAAAGGCAACUUCACUUGAAGUCGUGCUAACUCCACGCUUGCCCAGUCAAUUCUAUGAAAGAUAGGCAUUGGAUUGUGAUUGUAUGCUAUGUAAUUGUAGACUCUUAACGUUGUGUCUGUUUGCGAGUGAUAUUUAUAUCUUAUCAUGUGAAAACCAUCAAUGAAUAUAGGUCCCAUAGUAGGGUACGCGCAACUGCCUCUAUAAAACUCUUUUGUUAAUAGUAGUAAUUUGGUAGUAUAUGAGAUGAAGAAAAAAAUUAGUGUUUUGAUCCUUAUUUUUUCCCUUAUUUUUUAAGGAAAACUAAUGAAAAUGGCUUGAAAACUUUGAAUUUUAACGAUAAGAACAAAAUAAAGGGUAAAGUGAAUAAUACCAUGAUUGACAUUUUAGUGAAAAAAUGUGGUUUUUCGUUAAAGUGAACAGUACCGGAAGCUUUUCGUUAAAGUUCCUUAUUUUUUAUAUGGCUGUAAUGUAAUGCAUCACGAGUAUAAUUUAUGAAUAUCACUUUUUUUUAAUUGUGAAAAGGGAAUUUUCAUUCAUAAUAAUGGACAAAUUCAUAUUUGGAAUAACAAUGAAACACACUUUAAAAGUUUUGGCACACAUACGAAUUUCUCUUUCCAUACUUUAGAAGAAUUUGUAACUAAAAGGUUUUGGCACACAAAUAAAUGUUUGGAAGGUCUUAUAUAACAGAAAAUCCAGAACAAUGAACAAUCUCAUCAUUUUAACAUUGUAACCCAACUCACGAAAUCAAUCGAUUUAGAUAUGAGCAGGUUGAAGAGAGCUCUAACAGGCCUUGGAGGACCAAGCCCAUGUAACAAUGAACAAUCUCAUCAUUUUAACAUUGUAACCGAACUCAUUAGAACCGAUAACAAAUUAUUAGUAGGAUCUUAUUUACAUUGAAAUUCAGUGCCCCCAAUAGGACCCAACAAGAUACAGAGCUUGCAUAAUCUGUACAAAUGCACAUCUAAAGAAAAUAAAGGUAAUUUUGCUCAAUUUUCUUCUAUUACGUGUUAGAUAAGCAAAGUAUCUCCUUGUCGUAGGUCCAUGUACCACAAAUUUGCAUACCAACGGCAAAACGUCGAGUACUUAUAUUCGUAAAUCGAUCCAAGCCCAAAUUUUACCUUUUCCCCAAAAAAUGGAGUUAUGGAAACAUCCACACAUAUCCAAAGAGAUCUCAUGGAUCUAUGAAGGCUCGUUCGAUAACUUACUUGAAAACACAAUUCAUAAUUCUGAUUUUUUUUCGUUCUAAAAUUCAUAUUUUGAUUUAAAAAUUUUAAAGCCAAAAUCUUGUUUGGUAUGCACUUCUGCUGCUCAAACUAAUCAAAAAAAACAAAAAACUAAUCAAAAUUUAUACCUUGCUCUUAAAAAAAACGCGAACACCUAGGUCAAUUGAUGAACUCAUUGUUAUCAUCUCUCUCUCUCUGUGUGUGUGUGUGUGUGUGUGAUGUAUACCGUAUAUGUAUAAGAGAAUUUUCAAAUGUGCAUAUAUGUAUGAGAGAAUUUUCAAAUGUGCAAAAAAAUGCACAAAAAAAAUUAGACUAAACUUUUAAAGAAUCCACCAAAAAAAAUAGAUGAAGAAACUUGCAAGUGACUAAAUGUGUAAUACAUAUGAUAGAAUUUUCAAAUGACUCAUUAGAAAGUGUCAUUUUGAAAGUCCCUUGUUUAGAGUCUUCUAAUACAUUUGUAAUGUUGUAGUAAUAAAGUUUGUAGUGUUUGAGUACUUUAUUGGUAGUCUUCUUGUAGUGUAUGUUUAGUUACUAAGUCAAAAAACCCUCAUCCAAACAUAAAGUUAAGUCCAUACCUUCAUUUGGUGACUUGGACUGGAGUCUUUGUCUUGGAAAAGGAAGAAGAAAGGAUUAUUCUAGUCCAGUUCCAUAGAAUCUCAUCCUUCUACCCGAGAUAUUUUAGCCACAAUGUGUUGGAUACUUGGAUUGUUGUCCAAUUUAACGAGUUAUACCCAAAUUCAUCAACAGAGGAAAAGACAUAUAGUCCAUUUUAGUUGUUUUUUUUUCAUUUCACACAAGGGUAUUAUGAAUCCCACAUUGGUGGUAGAAAAACAAAAAGUAAUAGUUUAAAUAUCUUAAUCCCAUUCUAAUUAACACUGAGGCCUUUUGUGAUAAAACCUCACACCUGACGGAUUGUGUAGGUGGAAAUUACCAAGUUGAGGACAGUUUUGGUGUUGUUAGAAGUGGGUCUUUGGCCCAUCUCUCUGAUAAUUAGACAUGGUAUCAAAGCCAGGAAGCGUGCUCGUAAUGUACUGCCACGUGAUGGGUGGGUCCCUUGGCCCCCUGAGUGGAUGAUGGGUCCCCCUAGCCCCGCACGUGGAUGGUAGGUCAUUUGCCUAUCGCGCGAUAAUGGUGAGUACUUUAACCCCACGUGUAGGGUCUCACUCUAACUAACACCAAGGCAUUUUGUGAUAAAACCUCACACCUGAAGGGUUGUGCGGGUGGUAAUUACCAAGUUGGGGAUAAUAUCGGUGUUGUUGGAAGUGAGCCUUUAGCCUGUCUCUUUGAUAAUUCGACACUAUCUUUUACCCUAUAAUACAUACUCCAAAUAUAAGAAUGCAAAAAUCUCCAUCUUUAUAAAUUUAUAAGGUCAUAGGAAAAUUUCAACACUUUGUUAAUUGUUCACAAUUAUCAUCUCUUUCAUUUUGCAUAAUCUAAUAUUAGCUGGUUCAAAAACCAUAUCAAUCAGCUUAACAUGGACACUUUCUUUACUAUUAAACCAUAAGCAUGGCAAAUGGCCUUGUAUCACAGUGGUGGAAAAGAGUUAUACCAUUGCAUCUCUGCUUGGGUUCGAAUCUCGUCACCUUACUAAUCUAACAUCUAACCACUAAGCUAGCGUUCUUUCCAAAAAAAAAAAAAAAAAAAAACCAUAAGCAUAUUUUGAAGAGUGCUCAAGAAGAAAGAGACCACAAAGUCUGCAAAUGGGUUGAAGAUACUGAUAUAAAAAAGUUGGUUUAUCUCUAAGCCAUAGUCAAAGAAACACUUCAACCUUUAUCCCCCAGCACCACUCUCAGUUGUGCACGAAGCAAUUGAAGACUUCAAUGUCUACGACUUUCACAUUCCAAAGGGCACACAAUGUUGAAAUUUUUUAGAUCGACAGGCUGGAGGCCCACUUUAACGACAUCGAUAUUGUCCCCAACUUUACCAUUUGCCCAUUUCGUCAGGUGUGGGGUUUUAUCACAAAAAAACCUCAAUAUUAGUUAGAAUGGGGUAAUCAUAUUUAAACCUAUUGGUUUCCUUUAUCCCCACCGAUGUGGGACUUUAAGACUCUCCCUCACGUGUAACCCCAUUUAGUGGUUCACAUGUGGAGAUCCACACAUCGCAAUUGAAAUUCAGAGAUCGACUCCAAUGAAGUCCAAACUUGUUUACUUUAACACUCUCUAUCCCUCACGUGUAACCCCAUUUAGUGGUUCACACGUGGGGAUCCACACAUCGACAAUUGAAACUAUCAUAUCCUAGUCCACACAUCAAGAUAUUGUCCGCUUUGGGCCACGCCCUCACAGAUUUGUUCUUGGGUUUCCACCCAAAACGCAUCUUAGUAUAGGGAGGUGGCCAUGUACAUAUAAGGCACAUCACCUCCUUUCCCCUGGGCGAUGUGGGAUCUCACAAUCCACCCCCUUUUGGGGCUCAACACCCUUUUCAGCACACUUC
rnacentral:lncRNA from 1 species